rnacentral:rRNA from 1 species
CGGUCCAGACUCCUACGGGAGGCAGCAGUGGGGAAUAUUGCACAAUGGGCGCAAGCCUGAUGCAGCCAUGCCGCGUGUGUGAAGAAGGCCUUCGGGUUGUAAAGCACUUUCAGCGGGGAGGAAGGCGUUAAGGUUAAUAACCUUGGCGAUUGACGUUACCCGCAGAAGAAGCACCGGCUAACUCCGUGCCAGCAGCCGCGGUAAUACGGAGGGUGCAAGCGUUAAUCGGAAUUACUGGGCGUAAAGCGCACGCAGG